CCUACGGGUGGCUGCAGUGAGGAAUAUUGGUCAAUGGCCGUAAGGCUGAACCAGCCAAGUAGCGUGAGGGAAGACUGCCCUAUGGGUUGUAAACCUCUUUUAUGCGGGGAUAAAGGUGUCCACGUGUGGAUGUUUGCAGGUACCGCAUGAAUAAGGACCGGCUAAUUCCGUGCCAGCAGCCGCGGUAAUACGGAAGGGCAGGGCGUUAUCCGGAUUUAGUGGGGUUAAACGGAACGUAGAUGGGUUGUCAAGGCAGUUGGGAAAGUUUGCGGCUCAACCGUAAAAUUGCAAUUGAUACUGGCAGCCUUGAGUACAGUUGAGGUAGGCGGAAUUCGUGGUGUAGCGGUGAAAUGCUUAGAUAUAACGAAGAACUCCGAUUGCGAAGGCAGCUUACUAACCUGCCACUGACAUUGAUGCUCGAAAGUGUGGGUAGCAAACAGGAUUAGAUACCCAAGUAGUC
rnacentral:rRNA from 1 species